rfam:Clostridia bacterium 62_21 S_scaffold_2120, whole genome shotgun sequence.
AUAUAGUGAAAAAAGCGGCUGUAGACAGUUGGUGUUGUCCGAACUUAAUGGCACCGCCGGGUGCCGCCAACCGAGGCCCCGCGAAAUAAGGGAAGCCUUGAAAGGCCUCUGUAUGCUGCUGUCUACAGGGGCCUUUAAUUUUUGUAAC